UGAAAAGCGUUGAAGGUGUUAGUAGAGAUGCAUGGCUCUCGCAGAGAGAGGAGGUCACCGGCUGAAAGCCUCCUUGUGUAUGUAUGCAGAUCGAAUUUCCCGCCGGAGCAGCUAUGCUGAACAGAAAUACUUCUAACUAGGCAUAGACGUGAGCGCACGUUACGCGUAUUGAGUGCUCUGCAGACAGAAGCAGAGAAUUUGGGUGGUACCGCGGAUUUGAUUCGCCCCUGAU
rnacentral:ncRNA from 1 species